rnacentral:rRNA from 1 species
GACGAACGCUGGCGGCGUGCUUAACACAUGCAAGUCGAACGGAAAGGCCCUGCUUUUGUGGGGUGCUCGAGUGGCGAACGGGUGAGUAACACGUGAGUAACCUGCCCUUGACUUUGGGAUAACUUCAGGAAACUGGGGCUAAUACCGGAUAGGAGCUCCUGCUGCAUGGUGGGGGUUGGAAAGUUUCGGCGGUUGGGGAUGGACUCGCGGCUUAUCAGCUUGUUGGUGGGGUAGUGGCUUACCAAGGCUUUGACGGGUAGCCGGCCUGAGAGGGUGACCGGCCACAUUGGGACUGAGAGACGGCCCAGACUCCUACGGGAGGCAGCAGUGGGGAAUAUUGCACAAUGGGCGGAAGCCUGAUGCAGCAACGCCGCGUGCGGGAUGACGGCCUUCGGGUUGUAAACCGCUUUCGCCUGUGACGAAGCGUGAGUGACGGUAAUGGGUAAAGAAGCACCGGCUAACUACGUGC